AAAUUGGUUAUAAAUUAGGCUUAAAUUGGCCUUGGUAUGUGUUCAAAAACAAAAGAUUGUAGAAGAAAAUAUUUCCUUCUACUCUUCUACGCCAGGUCCCCUCGUUCCUUCUUCAUGUGUUCGACCGCCGCUUCCCAGAUGACACUAGCCAGCACAUCACGCCACCGCUGACGCUUAUCUCACCCGUGUGCGCCGACCCUGUUGCCAGCCGUCCAGAUCCCCUUUUUGUCUGACGACCACCUCGCUGAUGAAGCCACGUUGCAUGCACCUAGCCGAUCGGACCUCUUUUGUCCAACAUAUUUGGUUUCGCGCGAGCCUUCGAGUCUGUGCACGUGCGGGUCUGGUAGUCGGGGUCUAUUUCAUUCGCGGGUCGAGCCGCCAGUGUUAGUCGUCACCAAAUUUCUCAUUCGUCGGUCGUGAAAAUUGUCCGGUCACCAUUCCAGAUCUGGUUUCGUGCUGGCCGUCGUCAACGACUCGCAUCGCCGAUUGGUUUCCUCCGUGUGCCGCUGAAGAAUUGUGGAGUUUUGGCUACUUGGGUAAGGGAAAAGACCAGACGACAAAUGACAGGAAGAAUCCGUGAACCAGCUGGUGGGACUUGAUAUCACUUUUGCACUUAGGUUUCUUUUAAUUAGACAAGAUUUGGUUAGGAGUCUAGCAUUUAAAACUCUUGGUUAUUUUAUUGAUUCAUUUGUUAAUUUAUUUAUUCGCUUAAUUUGUUCUAAACUAGAGUCAAGAGUACCCCAAACAUGUUUUUAGGAUUUUAUCAUUUUAGAGCUUUAUUUAAUGAAAUAAAAUUUUUAUUUCUUUUAUUAA